CGAAUCACUCGUGCUGUGCCCCAACUGAAAUGUCAUUUUUGAGAAAUGUCAAUAUUUUUCAAGUGAUUUUUAUCAGUUUUUAUGCAAAUACGGCCCCAAAAUCGGUUAUUUCCAAUUGUAUUCAUUGCCAAAAUCCAGAAAAUACGUCGAAAAUAGUUUAAACUUUGCAAGUUCAAGGGGGCCCGCUCGCAUUGAGGUAUGAUAAAAUAGUCUUUCUCAAAGGUUGUUUGUCGUUCUAAUUCGCGAUAAGGCGUUUCAAGAGGGGGAUAUUUUGGCGCGAAAACCGAAAUUGUGUAAGAUUUCGUAACGGGAUCAUUGUGACGUACCGGACGAUGAUUGUGCUUGUUUGUGUGAGUUUAGGAUUCCCCCCGAUUCGGAUCAAAAUCCGAAGGUCAGAUGAUGUAAAAGAAAACAAGCCCUACCUUGAGAUUACGAAAGGUUUCGUAUCUGAAUGCGAAAAAAAUGGCUAUUUUUGGUAAUGAUGAUGAUUCGACGAAUUGUUGACGCACUGAAUCCAUCCCAAAAACCCAGUUCGAUUAGGUAACAAACGAGGAGCACAUGUCGAGGAGAGCAACAAGUCAAAAUGGCCAUAAUUACGGUUUAAAUAUCGGCCAAGUUUUCCACAAAUCGGCGGUUGAAUUUAACAUUUGAUCGAACCUGUUAUAGUGUGGCACGUGCCUUAACGACAAGGCCAAUGUUUCCUUCAAUAAAUCGAAUGACCUAGAUACAGAAGGUCGUAAAGGUGCCCAAGUUUGAAUGAGAAAACGGUUUCGAAAAUGCAAAUUUUCAAAGCGUCGAAUUCGAUUUAAUCGUAUUUCGUACGAAAAUGGCAUUUCCAUCGUGCGAUAAACGCGAAUUUUUCCGAUAGGAAAAUGAUGCCAUUUGUGUGAAUCAACCGGAAUGACGUAUUAAAAAUACGGGCACUAAAUGAUGUGGUUUAAAGCUGUCAGAUGUCACAAUGUAAACACAGAUAAAACGGCUUUAACUCACCUGCCACUUUCUUUGCCGGUAUUAAUUUUCCUGUACGUGAUAUGUAGGCCAAUCCGGCGCUUCUGAGGUGCUUUUGUAGUUUUCUUUUCGAUUUUGGAAUGCCCUGUUUUUCAAGACGAUCCAAGAGAGCAGCUGAUGGUGUCGCCAUGUUACUUUCACACUUGCAAUGGGGGCGCCACAGUGCCACCAACUUUGACACGAGUAUGCGCACUACAUAAAACAAAACACGAUCGUGUUGGGUGGGGAAUUUGAAUCGUAGUCGGCGUGGCGGGAAAAUAACGAAAGAGAAGUGGCAAAAACGACGAGGUUGGAAUGGCUCGCAGUUAGCCAUGACAUGCCUAGAG